GAUGAACGCUGGCGGCGUGCCUAAUACAUGCAAGUCGAGCGAACAGACGAGGAGCUUGCUCCUCUGACGUUAGCGGCGGACGGGAGAGUAACACGUGGAUAACCUACCUAUAAGACUGGGAUAACUUCGGGAAACCGGAGCUAAUACCGGAUAAUAUAUUGAACCGCAUGGUUCAAUAGUGAAAGACGGUUUUGCUGUCACUUAUAGAUGGAUCCGCGCCGCAUUAGCUAGUUGGUAAGGUAACGGCUUACCAAGGCGACGAUGCGUAGCCGACCUGAGAGGGUGGUCGGCCACACUGGAACUGAGACACGGUCCAGACUCCUACGGGAGGCCGCAGUAGGGAAUCUUCCGCAAUGGGCGAGAGCCUGACGGAGCAACGCCGCGUGAGGGAUGAAGGUCUUCGGAUCGUAAAGCUCUGUUAUUAGGGAAGGACAAAUGUGUAAGUAACUAUGCACGUCUUGACGGUACCUAAUCAGAAAGCCACGGCUAACUACGUG
rnacentral:rRNA from 1 species